UGGAUGGAUGGGUGGAUGGAUGAGCAGAUGGGUGGAUGAAUGAGUGGGUGGAUGGAUGGGUGGAUGGAUGGCUGGCUGGAUGGAUGGAUGGGUGGGUGGAUGGAUGGAUGGAUGGGUGGAUGGGUGGAUGGAUGGAUGGACAGAUGCUGGAUGAAUAGUGGAUUGAUGAAUGGGGGGAUGGAUGGAUGAAGAAGAAACUUUCACCCACUGCCCCUCCACUGAUGUGAAUGGGAAGGAAUCUGAACUGGCACCUGAGACCCAGAAAUCUCCGCCUUCCUCCGUCUGGGAAUACCCACUGCAGCCCCGUGCUUGAGCAGGACCCGGCUGUGGAAUUCCCCACAGGUGGGAUCGAACAGGAUCUCCCUCUGAGCCCAUGUGACUGCUGACAGCAAAGCCUCAUUUCCACCGCCGGGAGCUGGCUCCGUAAAGGAGCCUUCUGGCAAAUCUUUACGCAAAGCUAAGGAACCCUUUCCAGCAUCAAGUUUCUCUCCUGAGAGUCAGAGUUGGGGUUUGAUGAACAGGGCCCUGCUGGCACGCUCCCUGCUGAGGCGUCCCAGGUGGCAUCCAGGUGUGUGGGCUGCCACACCCACGUCUCCUCCCGGUUCAUCAGCCACAUGCAGCUGAUGAAGACACAACACAGAUGAAGCCCGUGCCAGGCACCUUGAGUCUCCCUGGCAGCCCCAGCGAGGGCGCCCAGGAUCUGCCAUCUGGCAGAACCCCCCCCCCGACACACACACCGUGCAGGCCUCCCCAGCUGCAGGCCCCAGGUGCCGAGAGCUUUUCGUUAGUGCUAAUGGGCCCAGAGCAGCAAGCUCUUGCCCCAAGUGUGUGCGUCCAGAGGGCGGGUUUUCCUAAACGGCUUCUUGAACGUGGCUGCUCCUUACUGACUUCCUCUAGUAACUGAAUAUUUUCUCUUAUAGGACAAGCUGGGCCAAUAAAGGAAAUAAACAGGAGCCCCUUUGACCAGGAGACUCCAUCUCGCUGACGCCUGAAGACCUGCCCAGGUGACGAGCCAGCACUGGCCUCCCCUGCUCUCUCUGCAUCUCCGCCCCAUGCUGACACUGCCCGAUUGCCCUUCAAUUCUACCUGUCUGUCCGUCUCUUCCCUAUCUCUUCUCUCGCUCUUCCCCUGUCUCCUUCAGUCUUUCUCCAUCUUUCCCUCUCUCUGACUUACCUUCGUCUGUUUCUCAGAUUGGCUGCCUCUCCACCAUUCUGUCUCUAUUUCCCCUUUUCCACUAUUCAUUCAUUCAUUCAGACAUACUAAUUGAAGACCCACUAUGUGCCAGGCACCGCUCUGGACACUAGGAACAUGGCAGUGAACAAAGGCAUGUCCAUGCCUUCACGACACAUAUGUUCUGACAAAGGAAGAUGCCACCGGAGCAAAUAAGGAAAAUGUUGGGCAGGUGGCAUGCCCGCGGGCACUGGCGCGGGCUCGAGGAGCAGGCUCCAGGCGCGGAUCCAUCGCCAGCUGGUCCUGUCGCUUGGCCAAGCCCCCUUUCCCUUCUCAGCCCCACUUUUCUCAUUUCCACAGUGAGGGUGUUGGGCCAGGUCGGUGCUGCCCGCCCUUCUCACGACCAAGAACUUCUUUUUUUAUGGAAAUACUGGUGACAUACAUUAUACAAGGCUGGAUUCUAAACCAUCAUCACACAAAUAAA
ensembl:lncRNA